UUCCCGUUGCCUGUAGAUUAAGAUGUAGAACUCUCAGUUUAUUUUCCAGCAUCAUGUUUUCCUGCAUGCUACUGUGCUUCUCACAAUGAUGAUAAUGGACUUAACUUCUGAAACUGAGGAACCCUCAAUUAAAUGCUUCUCUUUAUAAGAGUUGUUAUGGUCAUGAUGUCUGUUCACAUCAAUAGAAACCCUAACUAAGACAGAAGGUGCCACUGGGAUUGUCCUGGAUGAAGCAAUGAGACAGUCCCAGAAUGUACUGGGACAGAAGGAGGAUCAGGAGAUUUGCUUUAGUUUCAAUGUGGUCAAUUCUGUGUGAUUUCUUAAAAGUCUGUUAACUCCCUUGGGUUCAUACCCAGCAGCUGUGAAAUCAAGUUGGAAGAUAUAAGUCCAUUUCCUCUGAGAAUGGGGGUUGGUGUGGCAGACAAACCAGUUCUUCAGAACUGAGGUAAAUGUACUCUCAGUGGAGUUUUGAACCCUUAUGAUUACUUGAGUAUCAGGAUGCUAGAACGAGUAUAUUUUGUUUCUUUAUGUGUUUGUUUGUGCUCAUAAGUGAUAAUCCUGACAAAUUUCCUCAGUAUGAGCUAAGAUAUUUUUGUCUUUCAGGGUUCAAAUUCAGAGAAAUGGAAGACCAGAAACUCUAGGGGAAGCUGCCUUUGGGCUGAGGAAGCUUCACUACGCUGUCUUCUGAAGUUUGCAUGGCUGCUAAAUACACGGAGCUGCCCUACCUGUUCUUCUGUGGCCUGACCAUGCAUCAGCAUCUCAGUCAUCCCAUUUCACAACUCUUAAAUGUGCACAACAGUAGUACCUUAUUAUACCCUUAUUCUGAAGAUUGAAUUGUAACUUCUGAAGUGGCACGCACUUUCAAGUUACUGGUGGUAUCUGUCAUAUAACAGAAGGUAUUAAAAUCUGGGCAUGGUGGCUCAUGUCUAUAAUCCCAGCACUGGGGAAGCUAAGGUUGCCGGAUUGCAAGUUCAGUGACAGUCUGGCCUUGUUACACCAAGAAUCCAUUUCAAAACAAUACAAAGGGAAAUAAAACCUAAAAAGAGUG